CAACGUGAGCAACCUGCCUUUCANAGGGGGAUAACAGUUGGAAACGACUGCUAAUACCGCAUAACGCUGCGAUGGGGCAUCCCGAUGCAGCCAAAGGAGCAAUCCGCUGGAAGAUGGGCUCGCGGCCGAUUAGCUAGUUGGUGGGGCAACGGCCCACCAAGGCGACGAUCGGUAGCCGGACUGAGAGGUUGAUCGGCCACAUUGGGACUGAGACACGGCCCAGACUCCUACGGAAGGCAGCAG
rnacentral:rRNA from 1 species